AGGGGAUUGGUCAAGUGGUAUGAUAGGGGUCUCCAAAACCUUUGGCGGGGGUUCAAUUCCCUCAUCCCCUG
rnacentral:tRNA from 1 species